rnacentral:misc_RNA from 1 species
UGAAACAUCAUUGUCUUCUAGAACACCAGUACUCAAAUACUCAUCAUCUUCACUAUCCCAGGACAACUGUGCAAUUGGAAUGCCUCGAAUUGCACUAUCAAUAACUCCAGUACCCUCAAGGGAAAUAUCUUUAUCAGACCCAUUCAUCGACUCAUCCACAACAAAAGGAGUAUCACUAAAUUCACCAUGUCCUUCAUCAAUUUCCCUA